CCUACGGGAGGCAGCAGUAGGGAAUAUUGCUCAAUGGGGGAAACCCUGAAGCAGCAACGCCGCAUGGAGGAUGAAGGUUUUCGGAUUGUAAACUCCUUUUGUUAGAGAAGAUAAUGACGGUAUCUAACGAAUAAGCACCGGCUAACUCCGUGCCAGCAGCCGCGGUAAUACGGAGGGUGCAAGCGUUACUCGGAAUCACUGGGCGUAAAGAGCGCGUAGGCGGGAUAGCAAGUCAGAUGUGAAAUCCUAUGGCUUAACCAUUGAACUGCAAUUGAAACUGUUAUUCUAGAGGAAGGGAGGAGGUAGGUGGAUUUUUGGUGGUGGGGGAAAAACCCG
rnacentral:rRNA from 1 species